CACGGGGGGAGCAAGCGUUGUUCGGAAUCACUGGGCGUAAAGGGCGUCUAGGCGGUCAGAUAAGUGGGAUGUGAAAUGCCCCGGCUCACCCGGGGACCGGCAUCCCAAACUGUCUGGCUUGAGUAUGGGAGAGGAUGUGGGAAUUCCUGGUGUAGCGGUGAAAUGCGCAGAUAUCAGGAAGAACACCCGUGGCUAAGGCGGCUCUCUAGUACGGUACUGACGCUGAGACGCGAAAGCGUGGGGAGCGAACAGG
rnacentral:rRNA from 1 species